UGGCUCUCGCAUCGAUGAAGAACGCAGCGAAAUGCGAUACGUAAUGUGAAUUGCAGAAUUCAGUGAAUCAUCGAAUCUUUGAACGCAUAUUGCACUCUCUGGUAUUCCGGAGAGUAUGCCUGUUUCAGCAUUAGAAAAACAAUCGAAUCCUUCUUGCUUUUUUGGGUGAGAUGGAAUCGGAUCUGGGCAAUUUUGUGCGCAUUGGGGCACACCCUUGUGGUGGAUCUUAGAAGUCGUGCUGGCCUGAAAUUUAAUCGCGGUGGGAUUCUCCCUAGGCUCGGAAGGCGUCAUAGUUGGCCCGAUGGUCAUCUUUCGCUGAACUCAUGGCCAAGGGUUAAGACUGUCCACGCUGUAAGCCCUUUUGUCUCCUUACCAAAGGAUUUUGGGUGCUAACAGAAACUACUUUUUCAAUACUUAAUCUGAAAUCAGGUAGGAAUACCCGCUGA
rnacentral:misc_RNA from 1 species